UACGGAGGGUGCGAGCGUUGUCCGGAAUCACUGGGCGUAAAGGGCGCGUAGGUGGCCCGGCAAGCGUGCGGUGAAAGUUCGAGGCUCAACCUCGAAUCGGCCGUGCGAACUGCUGGGCUGGAGCACUGUAGAGGCAGAUGGAAUUCCGGGUGUAGCGGUGGAAUGCGUAGAGAUCCGGAAGAACACCGGUGGCGAAGGCGGUCUGCUGGGCAGUUGCUGACACUGAGGCGCGACAGCGUGGGGAGCAAACAGG
rnacentral:rRNA from 1 species